rnacentral:rRNA from 1 species
AUCAAAAACAUGUCCUUUUGUUUAUAAAUAUAAGGUCUAACCUGCCCAAUGAUUAUUAUUGAAUGGCCGCGGUAUUUUAACUGUGCUAAGGUAGCAUAAUCACUUGUCUUUUAAUUGAAGGCUAGAAUGAAUGGUUGGACGAGACAUAGACUUUCUUUGGCUUAUUUGGAAAAUUUAAUUUUUAAGUCAAAAAGCUUAAAUUUAUUUGGGGGACGAGAAGACCCUGUAGAUCUUUAUAUGAAUGUAGAUUUAUAGUUUUGUGGUGAGUUAUAGCUUGAAUAUUACUUUAAUAUUUGGUUGGGGCGACUGUAGAAUUAAAUUAACUUCUAUUUUUUAUUAUCAUGGAUGAGUGUUUUUUUGAUCCAUUUUUAGUGAUUAAAAGAUUAAGUUACCUCAGGGAUAACAGCGUAAUUUCUUCGGAGAGUCCUUAUCGAUGAAGGA